rnacentral:snRNA from 1 species
AUGAUAACCUGGCUUGGGAUAUACCGUGUUCACGAAGGUGCUUUUCCCACGGCGAGGCUUAUCCAUUGCACUCUGUAUGUGCUGACCUCUGCUAUUUCGCCGAAUGUGGGGAACUUUACUGCAUAAUUUGUGGUAGUGGGGGACUGCAUUCACACUCUCCCCUU